AAAUGUGAACCAUGCACUUCAAUAAGUUAAGUAUCAAAAGUUCAAAACCCAUUCAAAUCCCACUAGACAUUUAAAAGAAGAGAAAAAGAAAGGCAAUGCACUUAUGAUUCGAAAAAAGCAAUAAACAAAAACAAAAAAAAACCAGGAAGGAUUGCUUAUAUAAAAAUCCCUAGAGAGAAACUUGAUAAAGAAUAAUCUCUCUAGUGCCAUAUGAUUUCCGAAGUAUUCUCCCACCAACCUACAAUAGGAGCAAUCCCUCUCCAUUGUUGCCCAAAAAUCAAUUUUACUGUUUCAAGAGAGAAACUAAGGAAUGCCCAUUUCAUGGAAACUAACUCAAAAUCUCUCUCUCAAGCAAUUGGAAAAUUAUCUAAUAAAAGAAACUAAAAACCCAAGAAGCUAAAAAAACAAGUAAUUCUAAAAUAGCAUACCUAAUUUCAAUUUUAGAGAAUUAAAAUGAUUUCCUUUAAAAAAAUCAAUAUUUUUUAAACUGAAAAGCUCAAAAACUUACAUUCCAAAAAAAU
rnacentral:lncRNA from 1 species